GAUCCAAAGAUUUGACAUUCCAUCUCCAUCGGAGUAACUGACAUAGAUAUCUGCCGAAGGAACCCCCAGUGCUUGGUUUUGUGGGGAUCCAAGAUGAAGGACAAUAAAAGUAGCCGGUUGCUAUGUGUUGUUAUUGUGAGGAGUGGUCCAUGUAGGAUCGCAAAAAUAGAUUGAAAUUUUCAGUCCGUCUAAUCGCAAUAUAGAAACACGCUGGUACUACUCCAUUUGAAUUAAGACAGUUUGAGUGAAUGGUACGACUGCUGUAUUGUUAAAACAUAUGCCUACAGCUGCUGCUCGAGAUAAAAUGCAAGCAAAGAAAAAGGGAAAUUGAAACACGCGAGAUAAUAAAUAGAUAAACACAACAAACCAGAGAGGGGAAGCUAAAUUAAUAGGAAAACAAAUGCAUGACAAUUUUUCUCUUCCAAUCAUUCAACUCUCUUUGCAUGAACCAAAAAAGGUGAUAGCAACUUCACUUUCCCAUCAUCUAUCCAUCUCAUCGCGAUUAUCAUCUCUCACAACGGGGAGUUUCGCCUCGAAUUUGAAAACAACGUAAUAAACCGGGCAAGAGGGCAAAAGAAUAAACGGUUAAAAUUUGGCCGUUGUUUAAUAGACGAGAGAUAGACAUACGAAAAAUACGAAAAAAUACUUAAAUAUUAAAUCAUCCGAUUUCCCAUGGCUCGCAAAACUUUAAAAAAAAAGAAAGAAAUAGAAAAAAACUAAUAUGCGAAACAUUUCUGAACAAGUUGAAAAACUCAAGAAAUUAAAUAAACUAAAAAAUGGAAAUCCCUCUUGCCCUGUCGUGUCAUCGGUCGGUAGACCAUAUUUCCCUCCUACUGUUGUUGUUGCUGCUGCCUGAACUUGGGCCUCCAUGCCUGCGUUCCGCUAGCGGGUGGGUUAGAACCCUCGCGACUCUCAGGCGCAGGUGAGGACGGUGCUGGACUUCUGGAGAGUGAUUUGGGAGGAGGAACAGCUUCCCGGUUAAACCGUGGAGGCAUACGUUCAGGUACUCGCUCCGGCAUGCGUUCACCGUUGGCAGAAAUAUCCCGGCCAGCAACGGCCCGUCGCUGUGGAGGAACAUAUCCGCCUGUUGUCCGGGG
rnacentral:sRNA from 1 species